AUGGCGCGGAUCGACGGCGGCAGCGCGCUGGCGUUCUGCGUGCUCCACGACCUGCUGGGCGCGGCGGCGUUCCUGGCGGCGCACCCGCUGCACGCCGCCUACGCGCUCUUCUUCCACCGGGGCCUGCUCGCGCUCGCCGCCUUCUUCUGCCCGCUGCUGCUCUCCACGGCGCUCCUCCUCGUCGUGCUCCUCACCGCCGCCCCGUACGUCGCGCCGGGGCGGGCCGGGGCGCGGUACCUCGGCAGCACCUCCGGCGUCGCCGUCGCCGCGCUCUGCGCCGGGCUGCGGCCCGACGGCGGGCUCGGGCUGAUCGGCCAGCUCUGCUCCUUCGUGCUCGGCCCGGCGGGCGUCGGCGAGGUCGUGUUCGUGGGCGAGGUGUGUGAUGCUGGUGGUGGUUCUUGCUUUCUUUUGGAAGAGAAGAGCUUGCUGUAUGCUUAUGCUACCCGAGAGCUGGAGGGUGAGCUGCCAUUGCAGAGUGUGUCUCGAGAAGAGAUCUGCUUCCUGAGCAAUGGGGAAUUUUAUGAAGAAGAUAUGCCCAAUUUCAAGGAUGAAAUUCAGGAGAAAAAUGUGGUCUGUGAGGAUCUGAAGAAGGCUCCGGAAACCUUGUCUUCUUCUUCGGAGCAUUGCUGUCCAGGUGAGACAUUCAUGCCGGUGCCAGAGAUGGAAGAGCAGGAGAAAUCCAUCAACAAUGUAAGCUUGCCAGAGAGAAAGGGAUUCAGCAGUGAUGCGGUUAAGGAAAAGAGAUUGGAGUGUGACCCUGUUCCUCUGUCAGCAAUGGAGGCGAACACACCUGAGCGGGUCAGCAAGCCACGCUCUUCGAUUUCUCAGCGAAUAAGGCAAUGGGAAUCUGGCAAUCUGAAGCUUGUUCUUGAUGAAAUCGAGGAUAAUCCGGUGGAAAUCUGUUUCGAGAAGGAAUCAUUCAAGGGUGUGAAGGAAGCCGUGCCAUUGAAGACUGAAUCUUGCGACCAAAAGCAGAGUGAAGACCAGCUCGCUCAAGAAGAAUCUGACCGGAAGCAAUCGCCAGAGGAGGAACUUGUAGAUGUCAAGGAAGAAUUGGUGCGCUCGAAGGUGGCGGAAAAAUGCAGCGAAGACCUGCGAGCUGAAGAAAUCGCCUCCAUUAUCGGUGAACCCGAAGCAGACCCGCCGCAAGAACAGAGGAGGGAGGACGUGCAGGCCGAAGAAGAUGCGCAGCCUAACGGACAAGACCAUCAAGAAGAUGUGCAGGAAGAGCAGGAGCACGAGGACGCGGACGGCGGGGAGGGUCCCCUGAGGUCGACGUCCAUCGCGCGGCGCGUGCACACGCGGACCUCGUCGGAGAGCCUCGCCGGCGCGGGCGAGGGGUCGCCGUCCAAGGGGAAGGAGUGGAAGCGGACGCUCGCGUGCAAGCUGUACGAGGAGCGGAUCCAGCUCAAGGUCUGCCGCGACCGCGCCGUGGCCGGGGCGUGCGCGGACGACAUGGACAUGCUCUGGGAGGCUUACGAGACCGGGGGCGGCAGCAGCAGCGCCGUCGCCGUCGCCGUCGCCGGCGACACCAAGCCCCGAGGUGGCGGCGGCAGCAAGGCGAACGAACAAUCCGUUGACGAGGAGGAGGAGGAGGAAGACGAGGAGGACGAAGGGCCGGUGCGGCAGCUGUGCUGCCUGCAGGCGCUCAAGUUCUCGACGAGGAAGAUGAACCUCGGGGGCGGCAAGCCGAGCCUGUCCAAGAUCUCCAGGGUGCUCAAGCGGAUGACCGCGCUGUCCAGGGUCGGGUCGCGCCGUAAGUGA
rnacentral:rRNA from 1 species